rnacentral:rRNA from 1 species
AGGAAAGCAGGGGAUCGCAAGACCUUGCGCUUUUGGAGCGGCCGAUGUCUGAUUAGCUAGUUGGUGAGGUAAAGGCUUACCAAGGCUUCGAUCAGUAGCUGGUCUGAGAGGACGACCAGCCACACUGGGACUGAGACACGGCCCAGACUCCUACGGGAGGCAGCAGUGGGGAAUUUUGGACAAUGGGGGCAACCCUGAUCCAGCCAUGCCGCGUGAGUGAAGAAGGCCUUCGGAUUGUAAAGCUCUUUCAGCCGGAACGAAAAGGUUACGGUUAAUACCCGUGACUAAUGACGGUACCGGAAGAAGAAGCACCGGCUAACUACGUGCCAGCAGCCGCGGUAAUACAUAGGGUGCGAGCGUUAAUCGGAAUUACUGGGCGUAAAGCGUGCGCAGGCGGUUUUGUAAGUCAGAUGUGAAAUCCCCGGGCUUAACCUGGGAACUGCGUUUGAAACUACAAGGCU